rnacentral:lncRNA from 1 species
CGCCCCUUUGAACUUAUUUGCUUCAAUGUACUACUGCAACAGUUUGUCAUCGCAACUCCUCUGAAACCACACAACAGAAUUUCAUGAAACCAUUUUAGAUAAUAAGGACAUGCUACUCUAGAUGUGCAUAUCGACAGGAAAUUACGAUUCAAUAUUUUUUCUAGGAGUUACGCCCCUUUGAACUUAUUUCCUUUAAUAUACUACUGCAACAGUUUGUCAUCGCAACUCCUCUGAA